rnacentral:rRNA from 1 species
AUUGAACGCUGGCGGCAUGCCUUACACAUGCAAGUCGAACGGCAGCACGGGGCAACCUGGUGGCGAGUGGCGAACGGGUGAGUAAUGCAUCGGAACGUGCCAUUGAGUGGGGGAUAACGUAGCGAAAGUUGCGCUAAUACCGCAUAUUCUGUGAGCAGGAAAGCAGGGGGACCGCAAGGCCUUGCGCUCUUUGAGCGGCCGAUGUCAGAUUAGCUAGUUGGUGCGGUAACGGCUUACCAAGGCGACGAUCUGUAGCGGGUCUGAGAGGAUGAUCCGCCACACUGGAACUGAGACACGGUCCAGACUCCUACGGGAGGCAGCAGUGGGGAAUUUUUGGGACAAUGGGCGCAAGCCUGAUCCAGCCAUGCCGCGUGAG